rnacentral:rRNA from 1 species
ACGCUCGACACCUACGAGAGGCAGCAGUGAGGAAUAUUGGUCAAUGGGCGCUAGCCUGAACCAGCCAAGUAGCGUGAAGGAUGAAGGCUCUAUGGGUCGUAAACUUCUUUUAUAUAAGAAUAAAGUGCAGUAUGUAUACUGUUUUGUAUGUAUUAUAUGAAUAAGGAUCGGCUAACUCCGUUCNCGCAGCCGCGGUAAUCUGAGCGGGCUGGCAAGGC